UGGUGUUUAGCGCUAUGGCUUCAGCGGU
rnacentral:piRNA from 1 species